AACGAACGCUGGCGGCAUGCCUAACACAUGCAAGUCGAACGAGACCUUCGGGUCUAGUGGCGCACGGGUGCGUAACGCGUGGGAACCUGCCCUUAGGUUCGGAAUAACUCCCCGACAGGGGUGCUAAUACAGGAUAAUGUCUUCGGACCAAAGAUUUAUCGCCUUUGGAUGGGCACGCGUUGGAUUAGCUAGUUGGUAGGGUAAAAGCCUAUCACGGCGACGAUCCAUAGCUGGUAUGAGAGGAUGAGCAGCCACACUGGGACUGGGACGCGGCCCAGACUCCUACGGGAGGCAGGAGUGGGGAAUAUUGGACAAUGGGCGAAAGCCUGAACCAGCAAUGCCGCGUGAGUGAUGAAGGCCGUAGGGUUGUAAAGCUCUUUUACCCGGGAUGAUAAUGACGGUACCGGGAGAAUAAGCACCGGCUAACUCCGUG
rnacentral:rRNA from 1 species